UUUUGCUUUUCGUUUUCGGUGCACUCGGGUGUACUAUCCAUUAUGUGCAUAUGUACUUGAUGAUUACGACCAUUACGAUCCCCAGGAUCAUAUGAUGCACAUGUGUAUCUUUGUCUGAGGCCAUGUCAUUAUGAGCAUUGAGGCUCCCCCUUCAGGCUCGCAAUAAUAGUGAUCCCCGAAAGCGCACCGCGUCUCAUCCUUCAUCUGGCUGGGGAAUUGUCAACAUGAGCCAAGAACUGGGCAAGAGCAUCGAGCUGCCCCAAUGGACGGGGAUCGUGUUCCGCGACAUCCAGGGGGCCAAGAUCUUGGCCAUGGACAUUGGUGGCUCUCUCACCAAGAUUGCCGUGUAUUCGACCAUCUCGCACAAGAAGAUCAUCUAUGAUCCAAGGGCUCGCCAACAGACCGCAUCCCAGGAUGGCAGUAAGAAGGUCCAGAUCGAGAUCGAGGGCGAUGCCAUGUACGCCGUGUCGGAAGGGGCACGCCUUCAUUUCAUCAAGUUCGAGACGAAGCACAUUGAUUACUGGCUGGCUUACAUUCACGAAUGUCUGUCCGUGAAUAAGAGCGAGUUUCAGCAGAAGAGUAUCAAGGUCACGGGCGGAGGGGCCUAUAAAUACUCGGAGAGGAUCAAGGAGAUGGUCGGAUUGCCCAUUGACAAGUGUGAUGAGAUGCGAUGCAUCGUGCGGGGAUGCAAUUUCCUGCUCAGGAACAUCUCGGAUGAGUCGUUCAUCUACCAGAGAAAAGGCCAUCCCGAGUUUGUCUUUCAAACCAUCGACCCUCGGAGCAUGUUCCCGUACCUGUUGGUGACCAUUGGCUCUGGCGUGUCGAUCAUCAAGGUGACAGGGGACAACGAUUUUGAACGCAUCGGAGGCACGGCCACGGGGGGUGGCACUUUUUGGGCCCUAGGACGACUCCUGACCCAAGUGGAGGGCUUUGACGAACUCUUGGCAUUGGCGUCCGAAGGCGACCACCGCAAGGUGGACAUGCUGGUGAAAGACAUCUAUGGCGAUCGUCAGGACUACCAAUCCUUGGGACUACCCGCGGAUUUGAUUGCUUCUAGCAUGGGUAAAGCUAUUCAGAGUGAGAGCGACUGGAAAAAGUUCUCCAAGGCGGACAUUGCCCGGAGUUUGUUGUACAUGAUCAGUAACGAUAUCGGACAGAUUUCGAGCUUGUACGCUAUGCUGCACGAAAUCAAGACCAUCUACUUUGGUGGGUUCUUCCUUCGCCACCACCCGGUGAGCAUGCAUACGGUCAGGUACUCGGUCAACUACUGGACCAAGGGCAAAGUCCAGGCCCGAUUCCUUCGUCACGAAGGUUAUCUGGGCGCCAUUGGGGCCUUCUUGAAAGGCGCUCAAACGAUUCACGCCGAGGACUAUUCAUGGUUGGAGAACCUGUACGGGAGCACGGGCUUUAGUUCGCCCCAAAAUCCAGUGGCGCCCAAUUUCGAACUGGACCAUCUGGAGAUUGAUCGCUUCGAAAAGAAGCUGCGAUUCUGCCCACUUCUGCAGGACCCGCUGACCUACAGUCCGGACACGGUGGACUUGACCCGAGACAAUGAUGCCCGGGAGUACUGGCUUCAGUGUCUGCAGGACUCGUUGCCCAAGUUCACGGAAAGGGCCAUCAAAAGCCAGGAUAACUCGUCCAACGUGCAAGAUCGAGCGAGGAAGUUCCAGGAUCAAUUUCUGACCCGGCUCAACCAAUUCAAACACAACCCUUUUGCUUACGGCAAUCUCACGGUCCGGGGGCUACUGGACCUGCGGGAACAUUGCCUGGCAGAGUUUGAUUUCUAUGAUCCAUAUAGGAGACAGAAACAAUUUGAGAAUGAUCAAGCCUUUGACCUUCUCCCCGAUCUGCUCCAGGAAUUGAGUCGAUUGGAUUGGGAAGAGCGUCAAAAAAGGCUAGCCAUCGGCGUUCUGGCUGGCAACGUCUUCGACUGGGGGGCCAAAGAGGUGGCUCUCAUCAUGGAAGACACAGGGCUGGACUUCAAGACCGCCUUGGGUAUGAUCGGACCUCGACCAUGGCUAGUGGACUGCUUGGAUGCGUGGAUUGAAAGGUUGAGAAAUGGCUCCCAUCACAAAUGUGCCGCUAUUUUCAUCGACAACAGCGGAGUCGAUGUCAUCCUGGGUAUUCUCCCAUUCGUCCAAGAACUCCUGAGUCGCGGAAGUGAGGUUUUACUCUGUGCCAAUAAUAAACCCGUCCUUAACGAUGUCACCUACGGAGAGCUAUUAAUCAUUCUGCAACGGGCAGCCAAAGUGAGUGAUGUGAUUGCCCAAGCCCUGGAGAGUAACCAACUGAUCUGUCUGGAUUCCGGACAAGGCUCACCCUGCUUGGAUUUAACGAAACUGAACAAAACCGUGGUGGAUGUGAUGUUGGAAAAGCAAGUGGAUUUGCUUGUGCUCGAAGGCAUGGGGAGAGCGGUGCACACCAAUUUGUACACGUGCUUUAAUUGCGAAUGCCUCAAGAUUGCGGUGCUCAAAAAUCGGUGGCUGGCCGAACGAUUGGGCGGAGAAAUGUACGCCGUGAUAUUCAAGUUCGAAAAACCCGCCAAUCCACUGGAUCAACUAGUAGUAGGUCAAGCAACAAACGGAGAGGCGGCGGCGGAGGCGGCGGCGGAGGCGGCAAAAUGAAUCUGAUCAAUUGGCAUACCUGAAAUCCUUGGGUUUUGUCCGAUAAUGGCCGAAGCAAUAAUCUUGAUUGUAUCUGAGUCGACAAACAGGGUAAAUUUAAAAUGUCAUUCAUUUUUGACCGUGGAUUCGAUGAAAUAUGAUUUUUGCAUCAACACGAGUUCAUGAGGAUUGACACCCAGAAAAUGAGUGUCAGCCCAGAAAACUAAUCCGUCGAUGGAUCGACCUUGUCCCUGGCUGAGCGAAACUUUACAGAGCGCUGGAAGGUGGGUAUGAGCCAAUAAUGAAUGAGACCAAGCAAAAGCAGAGCAAAACCGACUGGACGGCCAACAACCAGAGUAUCACAAUUGUCAAACCACCUGUGUCGACAACAAACGGACGGGACUUUCUCUCUACACCGCAAAUCAAGCACCCCUGCCACGGCGUCCUCUCUGCCCAAGACAGCCCUGCUAGCCUAUGAGAUGGAGGAGUACCAACA